rnacentral:rRNA from 1 species
CAAGUCGAACGGCAGCGCGUGGAGCAUCCUGGCGGCGAGUGGCGAACGGGUGAGUAAUACAUCGGAACGUGUCCUGUAGUGGGGGAUAGCCCGGCGAAAGCCGGAUUAAUACCGCAUACGAUCUACGGAUGAAAGCGGGGGAUCGCAAGACCUCGCGCUAUAGGGGCGGCCGAUGGCGGAUUAGCUAGUUGGUGGGGUAAAGGCCCACCAAGGCGACGAUCCGUAGCUGGUCUGAGAGGACGACCAGCCACACUGGGACUGAGACACGGCCCAGACUCCUACGGGAGGCAGCAGUGGGGAAUUUUGGACAAUGGGCGCAAGCCUGAUCCAGCAAUGCCGCGUGUGUGAAGAAGGCCUUCGGGUUGUAAAGCACUUUUGUCCGGAAAGAAAUCCUCUGGGUUAAUACCCCGGGGGGAUGACGGUACCGGAAGAAUAAGCACCGGCUAACUACGUGCCAGCAGCCGCGGUAAUACGUAGGGUGCGAGCGUUAAUCGGAAUUACUGGGCGUUAAGCGUGCGCAGGCGGUGAAUGCAUCACGAUGUGAAAUCCCCGGGCUUAACCUGGGAACUGCAUUGGUGACUGCAUCGCUGG